GAGACUUCAGCACCGCUGAGGGAAACUCCUCACCUCUCUGAGCAGUGGGAAAACCCAUGGAGAGCAAAGGCGAGAGGAAAAAAUCCAUCACCUCUGUGACUGAAGCGAAGUGAGAGCAGGUCCAGAUCUGCAGACUCUUUCCAACUGAGUCCUGGAAGCAACCGGCUCCGCUGUUACCGGCAAACGUCCGUCAGCAUUGAUUUCCCGAGCGGUCCGGCAUCUUUCUCCUCAAACACCCAGGGAAGUCUUCUCCUGGUGCCACCCUGGCGAUGCUUCCUUUCAUCCCCUGCCUCCUCCUCUUCCUCCUCCUGGCCGGCCCAGCCCUCCUGACCCCGUCAACCUCCAAAGAGCUACAGUUAAGGGGUCAACGGACACCAAGGGACACCAAGCAGGACUCCUUCAAGGUGGUCAUCUCAGAGGGCUGUGCCACUCAGGGUGAUGCAUCUGAUGGGAGUACAGGAGGUAAAGAAAUUGACCUGGCGCCUGGUUCUCCUCUGGUUCUGACCCAUAAGAUCAAACUGGUUCCCUCAGAUUCGGCGUCUGGGUCUGGAUCUUGUGGAUGCGACGCCGACUUUGCUCCGCUGCGGGAGCGGCUGGAGAGGCUGGAGAGGGAGGUGUCAGCCCUCCGGGAGACGUGUGGAGGGGCUGAAGGAAACUGCUGCAGCUCAAACGAAAGC
ensembl:lncRNA